ACGAAAGUCGGCCAUAGUGAUCCGAUGAUUCUUUGUGGAAAGGUCAUCGCUUAACGGAUAAAAGGUACGCCGGGGAUAACAGGCUAAUGACCCUUUAGAGUUCCUAUCGAUGGGGUCGUUUGGCACCUCGAUGUCGACUCAUCAUAUCCUAGCGCUGAAGGCGGUGCUAAGGGUUCGGCUGUUCGCCGAUUAAAAUGGUACGUGAGUUGGGUUCAAAACGUCGUGAGACAGUUUGGUCCCUAUCUACUGUUAAUGCAAGAAAAUUGAGAGAAUCCGACUUUAUUACGCCAGGACCAAGAAGGAUAUACCUAUGGUGUGUUGGUUGUCCUACUGAGGGCAACGCCAAUUAGCUAAGUAUAAAUAUUAGAACUGCUGAAUGCAUAUAAGCGGGAAAAAUAUCUCAAAAAUAUUUUCUUUUAAGGCGAGUAAUAGACUAUUACUUUGAUAGGUUGAGUGUGUAAGUUAGGUAACUAAUUUAGCUAAUCAAUACUAAGUGCC
rnacentral:rRNA from 1 species